CGGCAGUUGACUCAGCAUCGUCAAUGCUAGCCAUGUUUCGAUCGCUCGAUACUGCUCCAGUACGAGUUCCAACUCAUGAAAUCUGUCAUCGCAUUUUCCUCGAAGUCAGUUAAUGAUGUCCUUCUUCUACUGAAUUCGGGCUUCUUGGAACUUGGCAGACUUUUGGGCUGAUUCCAACUCGAUUUUAGUUGACUCCAACUUGGCUUUUCAGUUGGAAGAUCUCUUUCUUGUGUUUCUCCUCUCAUACAGUCACCGCCUGAAGAAGUCCGACGGCAGCCUCUUUGUCGGCAUUUGCGGUGGCAAUCUUAUCAGUA
rnacentral:lncRNA from 1 species